rnacentral:lncRNA from 1 species
AGGUACGUCAAGCAUCAUCGCCUCCUUGAUCACCCUGUAAUUAACAAAAUAAUAAAACAAGUUACAAAUAUAUACUAACUAUGUUAAUAUUGGUAUAUUACGACAAUAUAUACAACAAAUUGAUUUUAUACCUCGUCGCCAUCCCCGUGUUGUGAUGCUGCUGCUGCCGCUACUGCUUCAGCUAACUCCUCAGCACUCAGAGCCCCCAGAUGCCCGCCCAGUAUCUUCAGAAGAUCGCGAUCUCGACAUAUAGCUCUCACACAGUCAGCCGGAGUAUGAACAGCUGGAUGGCUCGAUGACUGUGUAGACUGGGUAGAAGAGCAGCCUGAGCCACUGAAGGAUGGGCGUCGUCGUUGUCCUUGACCUUUAAUGUAGUUCUUCUUCACAACAGACGCCCUCUCCCACAACUCUUGAUCAAUAGGCGGACGUGGAGUGCCUUCAGGAUAGCGCUCAUUCAAUAAACGCUUAUAAGUGUCCUGUCAUCAUGUUAACAAUUAAAUAGUUAAAAAUAAAUUAAUUCUGUAAGCAUUGAUAAACAAGAUCAAGUUGUUAAAAUUUAUUACCGCUAUCUGGAUAGCCUCAGGCAGACCAUCACG